rnacentral:rRNA from 1 species
CCUACGGGGGGCAGCAGUGGGGAAUAUUGGACAAUGGGGGCAACCCUGAUCCAGCCAUGCCGCGUGUGUGAAGAAGGCCCUCGGGUUGUAAAGCACUUUCAGUGAGGAAGAACGCCUGGUGGUUAAUACCCAUCAGGAAAGACAUCACUCACAGAAGAAGCACCGGCUAACUCCGUGCCAGCAGCCGCGGUAAUACGGAGGGUGCGAGCGUUAAUCGGAAUUAUUGGGCGUAAAGCGCGCGUAGGUGGCUUGAUAAGCCGGUUGUGAAAGCCCCGGGCUCAACCUGGGAACGGCAUCCGGAACUGUCAAGCUAGAGUGCAGGAGAGGAAGGUAGAAUUCCCGGUGUAGCGGUGAAAUGCGUAGAGAUCGGGAGGAAUACCAGUGGCGAAGGCGGCCUUCUGGACUGUCACUGACACUGAGGUGCGAAAGCGUGGGUAGCAAACAGGAUUAGAUACCCUUGUAGUC